UACGUAGGGGUCUAGCGUUGUUCGGAAUUAUUGGGCGUAAAGAGCUCGUAGGCGGUUUGUCGCGUCUGCUGUGAAAACUCGGGGCUUAACCCCGGGCCUGCAGUGGGUACGGGCAGACUAGAGUGCGGUAGGGGAGACUGGAGUUCCUGGUGUAGCGGUGAAAUGCGCAGAUAUCAGGAGGAACACCGGUGGCGAAGGCGGGUCUCUGGGCCGUAACUGACGCUGAGGAGCGAAAGCGUGGGGAGCGAACAGG
rnacentral:rRNA from 1 species